rnacentral:rRNA from 1 species
AACGAACGCUGGCGGCAUGCCUAACACAUGCAAGUCGAACGAGACCUUCGGGUCUAGUGGCGCACGGGUGCGUAACGCGUGGGAACCUGCCCUUAGGUUCGGAAUAACUCCCCGAAAGGGGUGCUAAUACCGGAUAAUGUAUUAGGACCAAAGAUUUAUCGCCGUUGGAUGGGCCCGGGUUGGAUUAGCUAGUUGGUAGGGUAAAAGCCGGGCAUGGCGAGGAUGCUUAGCUGGUCGGGGAGGAUGAUACGCCACACUGGGACUGAGACACGGCCCAGAAUCGUAGGGGAGGGAGCAGAGGGGAAUAUUGGACAAGGGGCGAAAGCCUGAUCCAGCAAUGCGGGGUGAGUGAUGAAGGCCUUAGGGUUGUAAAGCUGUUUUACCCGAGAUGAUAAUGACAGUACCGGGAGAAUAAGCACCGGCUAACUCCGUG